CCUACGGGAGGCAGCAGUAAGGAAUAUUGGUCAAUGGAGGCAACUCUGAACCAGCCAUGCCGCGUGCAGGAUGACGGCCCUAUGGGUUGUAAACUGCUUUUAUACAAGAGAAAACCCUGGUACGUGUACCAGGUUGAUAGUAUUGUAAGAAUAAGCAUCGGCUAACUUCGUGCCAGCAGCCGCGGUAAGACGAAGGAUGCAAGCGUUAUCCGGAUUCAUUGGGUUUAAAGGGUGCGUAGGCGGACUGAUAAGUCAGUGGUGAAAUCUCUUUGCUUAACAAAGAAACUGCCAUUGAUACUGUCGGUCUAGAGUAUAGAUGACGUUGGCGGAAUAUGACAUGUAGUGGUGAAAUACUUAGAUAUGUCAUAGAACACCGAUUGCGAAGGCAGCUAACGAAACUAUAACUGACGCUGAGGCACGAAAGUGCGGGGAUCAAACAGGAUUAGAUACCCUGGUAGUCCGCACCGUAAACGANANAUACUCGUGUGUGAUAUNANAGNNGCGACAGACGAAGA
rnacentral:rRNA from 1 species